rnacentral:rRNA from 1 species
GGUGAGUAACACGUGGAUAACCUACCUGUAAGACUGGGAUAACUUCGGGAAACCGGAGCUAAUACCGGAUAAUAUUUUGAACCGCAUGGUUCAAAAGUGAAAGACGGUCUUGCUGUCACUUAUAGAUGGAUCCGCGCUGCAUUAGCUAGUUGGUAAGGUAACGGCUUACCAAGGCAACGAUGCAUAGCCGACCUGAGAGGGUGAUCGGCCACACUGGAACUGAGACACGGUCCAG